CGAGUGAAGCGGCAGCAGCUCAAAUUUGAAAUCUGGCGCCCCCCCCGGCGCCCGAGUUGUAAUUUGCAGAGGGUGGCCCGGGCCCGUCCCCGUCUAAGUCCCCUGGAACGGGGCGUCGUGGAGGGUGAGAAUCCCGUAUGCGACGGGGUGACGUGCCCGUGUGAGCCCCCUUCGACGAGUCGAGUUGUUUGGGAAUGCAGCUCUAACGGGAGGUAAAUUCCUUCUAAAGCUAAAUACCGGCCAGAGACCGAUAGCGCACAAGUAGAGUGAUCGAAAGAUGAAAAGCACUUUGGAAGAGAUCAAAAACACGUGAAUUGUUGAAGGAGCGCUCACGACCGACUGGGCGCGGCGCUCACCGCUCCGCAGUGCUCCCCGCGCCGGGCAGCAUCGUUCGGGCGCCGGAGAAGGCCCGGGAACGGGCUCCCUCGGGAGGGUACACCCGGGGCACGCGCCCCCCGGACAGGACGCGUCCUAGGAUGUGGUAUGUCGUCACGGCCGUUUGAACCGGACCAAGGAGUCUACCAUCGGUGCGAGUCCUAGGGUGUCAAACCCUCGGGCGCAAUGAAAGGAACGGAGGUGGGAACGCCUGUGCACCACCGACCGAUCCAGAAGUCCUCGGACGGAUUUGAGUAAGAGCACCGCUGGUGGGACCCGAAAGAUGGUGAACUAUGCGCGGAUAGGGUGAAGCCAGAGGAAACUCUGGUGGAGGCUCGCAGCGGUUCUGACGUGCAAAUCGAUCGUCAAAUCUACGCAUAGGGGCGAAAGACUAAUCGAACCAUGAACGGCCCCGCUAGGUGGUUCAGAGCGGGUACCCGCGCGGGUACCCGUCUAGUCCCCGUUACGGGGGCGAUAUCGCCAAACUGCGGGAACACCUGACAGGCGAUCCGGGUGACCGCCCCCCCGCCGAGAGGCGGCGGGAAGGCACCGAGCCCAAGGGCUCGGGUACGGUCAGAGCACCCGCGCUCAG
rnacentral:rRNA from 1 species